rnacentral:rRNA from 1 species
UACGGAAGGCAGCAGUGGGGAAUAUUGCACAAUGGGCGCAAGCCUGAUGCAGCCAUGCCGCGUGUAUGAAGAAGGCCUUCGGGUUGUAAAGUACUUUCAGUCGUGAGGAAGGUGUUAAGGUUAAUAACCUUAGCAAUUGACGUUAGCGACAGAAGAAGCACCGGCUAACUCCGUGCCAGCAGCCGCGGUAAUACGGAGGGUGCGAGCGUUAAUCGGAAUUACUGGGCGUAAAGGGCACGCAGGCGGUUAAUUAAGUUGGAUGUGAAAUCCCCGGGCUUAACCUGGGAAUGGCAUUCAAGACUGGUUAGCUAGAGUCUUGUAGAGGGGGUAGAAUUCCAUGUGUAGCGGUGAAAUGCGUAGAGAUGUGGAGGAAUACCGGUGGCGAAGGCGGCCCCUGGCAAAGGACUGACGCUCAUGUGCGAAAGCGUGGGGAGCGAAAC